rnacentral:sRNA from 1 species
UUUUGUUUUUCUUAUGCGGUUAUUAAUUUCGGCGCUGUCUACAUAUAGAACACACACACAUAUAUAUAAUAUUGGAUCGUUUGGUGGCUGAGUAUAAUCUCUACACACGCCCUCAUAUAUAUAUACUAGAUAAGGCCGCCUAAAUAGGCGGAUGUAUGAUAUAAAUUUAUUUAAAUAUUU